AUGCAAACGUCUCUGCUACCAUUUAAAGGAACGAGGGACCGUUUUCAGCGCGCGCGCUCUGGAAUGCUGGAUCUCCGGUCUUCAAAUAACACCGAUGAACUGCCCUCAAUUGAUGCAGGAAAGGAAGUAUGGCUGAGGUUUACAGUCAAUGAAGUCCGAGGGGCGUGUGUUAGCGUGACAGAGGUGGAGCUUACUCCACACAGAGAGACGUUCUUCUAUUAGGAGGCCUGUGCUGUCGACCCCGAAAACCCAGCCGAAAACUGUUGCUGGCGCUGCACCACAACAUGCGUCUCAAUCCCACAGUCACACAGGAGCAUCUCAGCGCAUGCUAACACUUGGAGCUGUCGUUGUCACCUCCUGUCAGAGCAGACAAACAAUGGAACAGACCACUGUGAGUGAUCAAAUUUGAGUUGCAUUUCAUGGCUUUUGCUUUUACACCCGAAUGCAUUUGCAGAAAAGAUGGGCGACUUGGCUUGGAAUUGCUAUCUUGUUUUGUUGGAUGUGUUUGCAAGUCAGACUUGACUUAAGACAUUGUCAGAUUUUAUAUAGUCCCAAAAGAUGAUGGAAGUGGAUCACGUUCACACAGGUAUCAGGUCAGUUGUGGGGCGGGUAAAUGUUUGACGGGUGUCCUCAAACAUCCCUGCAAACGUCCGGUGGUCCCCUUUGAGAACUUGAAUGAAACCACCUGCAAUCUUGCAAAAGAUCUCCAUUAAACAUUGCAUAUCUAGCGUUUAGUUUCAGUUAGGAAGUCUGCCAUUUUGAAGAGAAGGCACAUCGGGUGCAAAAUCGCAACAAUAAAAAAAUAGAUUUCUUAAAAGUUUUGCUUUUCUGCUGUAGUUUACCUACUUGCAUUUCUAAAGUGUCUUGCAAAGGAAAUAAAGCUUCCUUUUCACAGUUUCCUCUCCAGGUGCAGCAAAUAUCAGUAUAAAUAAAUAUCGAGCCACAAAGUGACUGCAAUAUUAACUUUCAUUAUAGCUGAAUUCCUGCCAGAAGGUUCAAUCUAAUUAUUACAGCAUCAUAGUACCUUGUCGUAUCCAUUUUCUCUUUCUUUCCCUGAACGUUCAGACAUUCCGGUUGAACUUUUAAUAUGGUGAAGCGGCUUUUGCUGCUGUGAGAGGAAAAGAUUUGAUCAUUCUGAAAUGUG
rnacentral:lncRNA from 1 species